rnacentral:tRNA from 1 species
GGGGCCGUCGUUCGCCUAUGGGGACGCCAGAUUGUCAAUCUGGAAGUCGCGGGUUCAAAUCCUGUCGGCCCCGCCA